UACGAAGGGUGCAAGCGUUACUCGGAAUUACUGGGCGUAAAGCGUGCGUAGGUGGUUCGUUAAGUCUGAUGUGAAAGCCCCCGGCUCAACUGGGGAGGGUCACGCGAUACUGAUCGACUCGAAGGCAGGAGAGGGUAGUGGAAUUCCCGGUGUAGUGGUGAAAUGCGUAGAUAUCGGGAGGAACACCAGUGGCGAAGGCGACUACCUGGCCUGUUCUUGACGCUGAGGCGCGAAAGCUAGGGGAGCAAACGGG
rnacentral:rRNA from 1 species